UGGCUUAAUCUUUGAGACAAGCAUAUGACUACUGGCAGGAUCAACCAGGUAGCAUUCCUCUUCGACGUAGCCCACCAUGCAAGGACAAGCCGAGACAUGGCAGACAAUCGUUUUGGAGAAGCGAGAACGCUUAACGAGGGCAGAUUCAGGAUCUUAGAAGACCCAUGCCCACAUCAGGUUCCGUAUACAAGAGACCAAGCGAUGCUUCAUAGGCCACAUCAUCGWUGCAAAUGCAACAACAAGGUGGAUCACAAAGACCGCUUCAACGUUCAUCUCACGCCCCAUGAGCGACGCAUGACGAAAAGGGACAUCAUAAAACCCACACGUUACCAUCGGUUAGGUAUGCAACACAGAAAACCCACAAUAUGCUCAAGACGUUCGAAGCCUUGCCGCUAAACUGAAGAGGUAUGCACGCGUGGACGUUGCUGCGCGAGCAGACAGCCAACCACCCGUAACAAACCAAACACCACUCAUGCACCUUUACGGUCGACAUUCCCGAAAACCGCCCAACUAGUAGCGACCCACCCGGCGAAAAGCCAAGCAAGCAACCAAAAGCCAAAACAGUCCCCAGAAUGCACC
rnacentral:misc_RNA from 1 species